AAUUCGAAGCAACGCGAAGAACCUUACCAGGCCUUGACAUCCCCUGACAACCCGAGAGAUCGGGCGUUCCCCUUCGGGGGACAGGGUGACAGGUGGUGCAUGGUUGUCGUCAGCUCGUGUCGUGAGAUGUUGGGUUAAGUCCCGCAACGAGCGCAACCCUCGACCUUAGUUGCCAGCAUUCAGUUGGGCACUCUAAGGUGACUGCCGGCUAAAAGUCGGAGGAAGGUGGGGAUGACGUCAAAUCAUCAUGCCCCUUAUGACCUGGGCUACACACGUGCUACAAUGGUUGGUACAACGAGUUGCGAGUCGGUGACGGCGAGCUAAUCUCUUAAAGCCAAUCUCAGUUCGGAUUGUAGGCUGCAACUCGCCUACAUGAAGUCGGAAUCGCUAGUAAUCGCGGAUCAGCACGCCGCGGUGAAUACGUUCCCGGGCCUU
rnacentral:rRNA from 1 species